UUAAAUAAUCUUGAGCCACACCCGAAUUUGAAAGAGCUGAUGGUAUCCUCUUAUGGAGGAGCAAGGUUUUCGAGUUGGCUAUCUUCGUUGACUAAUUUAGUCGAUCUUCAAAUAGCACAUUUAAGGAAUUGCCAACGUCUACCACCCCUGGAUCAUUUUUCAUCUCUCAAAUCUCUCACUCUUUACUUUUCCAAUGCUUUAAAACGCCUGCCACCCUUGGAUCAUCUUUCAUCUCUCAAGUGUCUUGUACUUGUGGAGUUAAAUGCUUUAGAAUACGUGGCAGAGUCUUUCCCCUUGCAUCGCUCCAGGUCAGGAAAACCAUUCUUCCCGUCGCUUAAGACACUUUGC
rnacentral:lncRNA from 1 species